UAAGCGAAUAGUGAAAUCUGACGGCUCAACCGUACAGACUAUUAUUCGAACUGCAAGGCUCGAGAAUAACAGAGGUAACUGGAAUUUCUAGUGUAGGGGUGAAAUCCGUAGAUAUUAGAAGGAACACCAAUGGCGUAGGCAGGUUACUGGGUUAUUUCUGACACUGAGGCACGAAAGCGUGGGGAGCGAACCGGAUUAGAUACCCGGGUAGUCCACGCCGUAAACGAUGGAUACUA
rnacentral:rRNA from 1 species